AUUGAACGCUGGCGGCAGGCUUAACACAUGCAAGUCGAGCGGGGUGAUGGUGCUUGCACUAUCACUUAGCGGCGGACGGGUGAGUAAUGCUUAGGAAUCUGCCUAUUAGUGGGGGACAACAUCUCGAAAGGGAUGCUAAUACCGCAUACGUCCUACGGGAGAAAGCAGGGGAUCACUUGUGACCUUGCGCUAAUAGAUGAGCCUAAGUCGGAUUAGCUAGUUGGUGGGGUAAAGGCCUACCAAGGCGACGAUCUGUAGCGGGUCUGGGAGGAUGAUCCGCCACACUGGGAGUGAGACACGGCCCAGACUCCUAAGGGAGGCAGCAGUGGGGAAUAUUGGACAAUGGGGGGAACCCUCAUCCAGCCAUGCCGCGUGUGUGAAGAAGGCCUUAUGGUUGUAAAGCACUUUAAGCGAGGAGGAGGCUCUUUUGGUUAAUACCCAAGAUGAGUGGACGUUACUCGCAGAAUAAGCACCGGCUAACUCUGUGCCAGCCGCCGCCGUAA
rnacentral:rRNA from 1 species